rnacentral:lncRNA from 1 species
GGAACUAGGACCUCUAUGGCCACAACUAACUUUCUCCUAAGGAUGGUGGCAAAUUGGGCGAUAACUGUGAGCAGGGAGAAGUGUCCCCAAUGUGAGACAGGUCUCUCUCCAGUGACCUGGAGGUGAAAUUGGAAGGCUGGAGAACAGCUACGAAGGGACAAGGCUUGGGGUCAGAGGCACAAAGCAAGCAAGGAAAGCACUUGAGACUCUGGUCUGACAGAGACGGCAGAGCCAUCACAGGUUUGAUGGAAGCCCAUGAUCUUGGAGGCCAUGUGGUUGAGUGGCCAUGGAGGAGAGCCAAAAGCAGAUGGCAGAGUCUCUGUCCUUCAGGAGAGGAAGGCUUUCCUGGAGAGAAGCAAGUAAUAGCCCCCAGAGGAAAUCAGCAUUUACCAUGGGAGUGGAGGAGAAGGCUGAGCCCCGUCUUCAUGGGAGAAGAAAGGUCACAGAGAGGGAGAACUGGGAACCAGGAGACCGUGAUGGUUAAGGGAAGAGAAACUUCUAGAACAACUUAGCCAUGCAGUAGUUGCAGCUUUGGCGCUCCCCUUUCCUCCUCUUGCUCCUUAGCUGUCCUGAAACUCAUCUGCAGAUCAAGCUGGCUCAAAACUGCAAGAAAUCCUGCUGCAUCCUCCCAGGAGCUAGGACUGCAGACAGACUAAGCAAACAACUAAGCAAGCUCCCAGGCUUGCUUUCUGAGCUGUCAUUCUGUUAAGAGAGCCUCAGGAGCUAGGCUC